CCUACGGGAGGCAGCAGUGAGGAAUAUUGGUCAAUGGGCGUAAGCCUGAACCAGCCAAGUCGCGUGAGGGAUGAAGGUUCUAUGGAUCGUAAACCUCUUUUAUAAGGGAAUAAAGUGUGGGACGUGUCCUGUUUUGUAUGUACCUUAUGAAUAGGGAUCAGCUAACUCCGUGCCAGCAGCCGCGGUAAUACGGAGGAUCCGAGCGUUAUCCGGAUUUAUUGGGUUUAAGGGGUGCGUAGGCGGCCUUUUAAGUCAGCGGUGAAAGUCUGUGGCUCAACCAUAGAAUUGCCGUUGAAACUGGGAGGCUUGAGUAUGUUUGAGGCAGGCGGAAUGCGUGGUGUAGCGGUGAAAUGCUUAGAUAUCACGCAGAACCACGAUUGCGAAGGCAGCCUGCCAAGCCAUGACUGACGCUGAUGCACGAAAGCGUGGGGAUCAAACAGGAUUAGAUACCCCGGUAGUC
rnacentral:rRNA from 1 species